UCGACGGCAGCGCGGGGAGCUUGCUCCCUGGCGGCGAGUGGCGCACGGGUGAGUAAUACAUCGGAACGUGUCUUCUAGUGGGGGAUAACUGCCCGAAAGGGCAGCUAAUACCGCAUGAGACCUGAGGGUGAAAGCGGGGGAUCGCAAGACCUCGCGCUGGAAGAGCGGCCGAUGUCCGAUUAGCUAGUUGGUGAGGUAAAGGCUCACCAAGGCGACGAUCGGUAGCUGGUCUGAGAGGACGACCAGCCACACUGGGACUGAGACACGGCCCAGACUCCUACGGGAGGCAGCAGUGGGGAAUUUUGGACAAUGGGGGCAACCCUGAUCCAGCCAUGCCGCGUGCAGGAUGAAGGUCUUCGGAUUGUAAACUGCUUUUGUCAGGGACGAAAAGGGAUGCGAUAACACCGUAUUCCGCUGACGGUACCUGAAGAAUAAGCACCGGCUAACUACGUGCCAGCAGCCGCGGUAAUACGUAGGGUGCAAGCGUUAAUCGGAAUUACUGGGCGUAAAGCGUGCGCAGGCGGUUCUGUAAGAUAGAUGUGAAAUCCCCGGGCUCAACCUGGGAAUUGCAUAUAUGACUGCAGGACUUGAGUUUGUCAGAGGAGGGUGGAAUUCCACGUGUAGCAGUGAAAUGCGUAGAUAUGUGGAAGAACACCGAUGGCGAAGGCAGCCCUCUGGGACAUGACUGACGCUCAUGCACGAAAGCGUGGGGAGUAAACAGGAUUAGAUACCCUGGUAGUCCACGCCCUAAACGAUGUCUACUAGUUGUUGGGGACGAUAGUCCUUGGUAACGCAGCUAACGCGUGAAGU
rnacentral:rRNA from 1 species